UGAAUACGAGACGCUACGGCGUCGAAGCAGUCUAUGUCAUACUUCCAAGAAAAGCUUGCACUGUCAUAAACAAAUAAUGCCUGUACCAUAACCGACACAGGUGGGUAGGUAGAGUAUACUAAGGGGCGCGAGAUAACUCUCUCUAAGGAACUCGGCAAAAUGACUCCGUAACUUCGGGAGAAGGAGUGCCUUAUUUAUAAGGUUGCAAUAACAAGAUCCAAGCAACUGUUUAUCAAAAACACAGGUCUCCGCUAAGUCGUAAGACGAUGUAUGGGGGCUGACGCCUGCCCAGUGCCAGAAGGUUAAAGAAGUUGGUUAGCAUUAGCGAAGCUGAUAACUGAAGCCCUGGUGAACGGCGGCCGUAACAAUAACGGUCCUAAGGUAGCGUAAUUCCUUGUCGGGUAAGUUCCGACCCGCACGAAAGGCGUAAUGAUUUGGAUACUGUCUCAGAGAGGGGCUCGGUGAAAUAGACUUGUCUGUGAAGAUGCGGACUACCUGCACCAGGACAGAAAGACCCUAUGAAGCUUUACUGUAACUUGAAAUUGAAAUUGGACUUUAUUUGCGCAGUAUAGGUGGGAGGCAUUGAUAAUAUUCUUGCGGGAAUGUUGGAGCCAUCAGUGAGAUACCACUCUUGUAAUGUUAGAUUUCUAACUUUGGAUCAUUAUCUGGUCAAAGGACAGUUUCAGGCGGGCAGUUUGACUGGGGCGGUCGCCUCCUAAAUGGUAACGGAGGCGCACAAAGGUUUCCUCUGAACGGGUAGAAAUCGUAUCUAGAGUGUAAAGGCAUAAGGAAGCUUGACUGUGAGACCUACAAGUCGAGCAGGGACGAAAGUCGGUCUUAGUGAUCUGACGGUGCUGAGUGGAAAGGCCGUCACUCAACGGAUAAAAGUUACUCUAAGGAUAACAGGCUGAUCUCCCCCAAGAGUUCACAUCGACGGGGAGGUUUGGCACCUCGAUGUCGGCUCAUCGCAUCCUGGGGCGGUAGUACGUCCCAAGGGUUGGGCUGUUCGCCCAUGAAAGCGGUACGCGAGCUGGGUUCAGAACGUCGUGAGACAGUUCGGUCCAUAUCCGGUGUAGGCGUUAGAAUAUUGAGAGGAGCCUUCUUUAGUACGAGAGGACCGAGAAGGACAUACCUCUGGUGUACCAGUUAUCGUGCCAACGGUAAACGCUGGGUAGCUAUGUAUGGAGAGGAUAACCGCUGAAAGCAUCUAAGUGGGAAGCCCACCUCAAGAUAAGUAUUCU
rnacentral:rRNA from 1 species